GAUGAACGCUGGCGGCGUGCCUAAUACAUGCAAGUCGAGCGAAUGGAUUAAGAGCUUGCUCUUAUGAAGUUAGCGGCGGACGGGUGAGUAACACGUGGGUAACCUACCCAUAAGACUGGG
rnacentral:rRNA from 1 species